rnacentral:lncRNA from 1 species
AUGCAGACUGGAAGCCUGAGGGCAGGAACACCUUGGAAAUAGCACCUCAGCAAGAAUGCUAACUCGUACGCACUCUCCCACUCACCAGCUGUGUAAUCCAUUGCAAAGGAUGGAUAAUGUAUUAAUAGAUAGUUAGUGAUUCAGAAACAGAUCCCAGCAGAGAAUGCAAAGCUUUGUGUAUAGGUAAAUGUUCUUGCCAAAACCACAGGGGAUCCUUCCACUACCACUGAGGUAAACUCUUUGGCUUCAAUGUUGUGUGUGAUUCUUUUCAGAGAGAAUGGUUAAGUAUUGGAACAAGCUGCCCAGGGAAGUGGUGGAAUCGCUGUCCUUGGAAGUGCUCAAGAAAUGUGGAGAUGUAGUACUGAGGGAUGUGGGUAAAUGGGUGGGGUGGGGUUGGGCUGACAGUUGGACUAGAUUAUUUUAGUGGCCUUUUCCAAACAUAAUGAUUCCAUAUGCUUUCAGGUCUUUGGCCUCUGCCUGUUAAAGGAAAAAAUAGGGAUGUGGGAAUGGGAUCAUUUAAAAGCUCAAGGAUUCAAAAUGGAGAGCACUGAUAUGAAAAGGCAUAAUAUUCUACAGAGUAAUAAAAGAAGAAAUAAUCUGAUUGUCAGGUCAAGCCAUUAAUGUCAUCUGCAUUGGUGGAGCCAAUGAAGGUGACAAUUCCAGCUGCGGUGAGGAUCAGUUGCAGGGAAUCUUGGGAACUGCCCCUUCCCCUCCUACCUACCUUGCAAAGGCUCUGGGUGCUUGUCAGGCAGGGAUGAUGCCUGCACUAUGGCUUUGCAUAAUGGCUUGAUGAAAACUUUUGUGUGAUCUGACCAAUAAAUAAUUGUUCUAUACUUUUAGGAUGCAUGUGACCUGUCUGAACUUACGCCUUACUAAAUAUACCUGAAGAAGCUGACCCUGGAGGUGAUCUGUUACACCUUCAGUAGUCUCCUCCAUCAAAUUAACCUUUUACUCAGCAGGGCUAAAGAAGCUAGAGCACUGAGAAUGUCUAAUUACUUUCUUCAGAUCACUGUGACUGUAAAUCAUGCUGCUCAGUCUCGCUGUCUACAAAGAACAGCUCUGCAUCCCUGCCUGCUCGCUGCUCAGCUCACUUCCCUAAGGCUGCACAAGCAGUUUGAUCAUCUGGCUGAAAAACAAAUAUUGAGUUAUUACUGCAUUUUUUUUAAAUGUGGGGUAGAUUUUCAGCUUUUGUAAAUCACUACAUACCAGCCAAAUUUUC